UACCUUUGCACAAGAAUCGGUUCUGUGCGCAAGUCCUUGCGUACGGAUUAAAAGGGAAUCGGGUGCAAAUCCCGGACAGUCCCGCUGCUGUGAUGCUCCGUGAACUUUCUGAAAAAGCACCAUCACCACUGGCCACUUGUUUGUCAUGGCCGGGAAGGUUUCAGAAAGGGGGCGAGUCAGAAGACCUGCCAUUCACUAAAGAACUGU
rnacentral:ncRNA from 2 species